GACGAGGCAGGAAGACGCUCGCGCAGCGGAACCACCGACUAGCCCGGCUUGGCUAAGGCCGCCCCACCGGCAACGCGGAUCCCUCCUCCAAUCGGCGGACGAGGAGUGGGCCUUCCUGUAUCUGAUGAAGUGAGACCUGCUCUACAGAAGCUUAUGCCACAAUCAUUAAGGCAAAGAGAUCAUCCCAUGGCAUCAUUCAAGGUGUUAUAAUGCAGCAACCUUGUUAAAGCUGAGCAAGUCCGGCUAUGGCCAGUGUCUGGAUGGAAGGACCACCUGAGAAGCCUAUGUACGCUGUCUUGAGUUCCAUGACUGGAGUGUUGGGUUGGGGAGGAUAUUAAAAAAUUAUGUGUGUGUACUUUAACAGAACACUGAUUUUCUCUCAUCCAGCUAGGCAGGAAAGCCUCUAAGAGUUAUUUAAUGCAUCUUUUAAUUAAAGCAACAAAAAGCUUACCCCUCUCAACUUCACUUUUAAUUUACCAUCCAAAUGUGGAAAUAACUGUAACUCAAUGAAUAUAUAUAUUUAAAAAUGCAAUAAAGUUAAUUACCAGCUUCCUCCACAGAAUACAUUUCUCGCCAAAACAUCCUGUGCUUGUAAUCAUCUUUUGGUGCAUAUAGGUAUGCAUUCAGUCCCCAUUUCUGAAGUCUACAAAGCAAAAUUAAAAUGUUGUUUGAAAUACAUUGGAAACUGGAGGACACUAUUCAUUUUCUUAACUUAAAAACACUGCUCAGAGCUUUUGAAAUAUUAAGUGGUAUAUAAAUGCUUUUUGCUGGAUUCUGCUUAUUUAUUUUAUUAAUAUUGUUGAUAUUGUUUACAUGUUGUACUGAUUUGUUAAUCAUAUAUGACUUUUGCUUUAAUUGUGAUGUUUAGCUUAUUAGUUGUUGCUUUGUUAACAGUGUUUUAUAUAUAGCAAUUGUUUUGCUGAUGAUUUGUUAAUUACUUUAUAUGAUUUAUACUGCAUCUGUAUUGUUUUAUCACACUGUUAUUAACUGAAGCCACUUUGGGAUUCAUUUGAAUGAAAAGCGGCAUAGAAAUUGAAUUUCAGAGGUUUGAUUUGAUUUAUUAUGAGUUAGCUUAGAACAGUCACUGAAAGCAAAAACCACUCAAUUUUCUAUGACCUUUUGGCUCCUCCUCUCCUCCCAUACUUUAGUUUUCAGAACCUAUGCCUUAAUUCUGCACUAAACAAAUUCUUUAUUUUUA